CUACGGAGGCUGUAGUGGGGAAUAUUGCACAAUGGAGGAAACUCUGAUGCAGCAACGCCGCGUGGAGGAUGACACUUUUCGGAGCGUAAACUCCUUUUAUAUAGGAAGAAGAUGACGGUACUAUAUGAAUAAGCGCCGGCUAACUCCGUGCCAGCAGCCGCGGUAAUACGGAGGGCGCAAGCGUUACUCGGAAUCACUGGGCGUAAAGAGCGUGUAGGCGGAUUAAAAAGUCAGAAGUGAAAUCCUAUAGCUUAACUAUAGAACUGCUUCUGAAACUCUUAAUCUAGAAUAUGGGAGAGGUAGAUGGAAUUUCUGGUGUAGGGGUAAAAUCCGUAGAGAUCAGAAGGAAUACCGAUUGCGAAGGCGAUCUACUAGAACAUUAUUGACGCUGAGACGCGAAAGCGUGGGGAGCAAACAGGAUUAGAUACCCCAGUAGUC
rnacentral:rRNA from 1 species